AGCUUACACGGCCCCCGUACCUUUGCACCCCGACCGGUAGCGGGUCCUUCGGGAUGCCGGCGAGCGGCGGACGGGUGAGUAAUGCCUAGGAAUCUGCCUGGUAGUGGGGGAUAACUCGGGGAAACUCGAGCUAAUACCGCAUACGUCCUACGGGAGAAAGUGGGGGAUCUUCGGACCUCACGCUAUCAGAUGAGCCUAGGUCGGAUUAGCUAGUUGGUGAGGUAAAGGCUCACCAAGGCGACGAUCCGUAACUGGUCUGAGAGGAUGAUCAGUCACACUGGAACUGAGACACGGUCCAGACUCCUACGGGAGGCAGCAGUGGGGAAUAUUGGACAAUGGGCGAAAGCCUGAUCCAGCCAUGCCGCGUGUGUGAAGAAGGUCUUCGGAUUGUAAAGCACUUUAAGUUGGGAGGAAGGGCAGUAAGUUAAUACCUUGCUGUUUUGACGUUACCAACAGAAUAAGCCCCGGCUAACUUCGUGCCAGCAGCCGCGGUAAUACGAAGGGUGCAAGCGUUAAUCGGAAUUACUGGGCGUAAAGCGCGCGUAGGUGGUUCAGCAAGUUGGAGGUGAAAUCCCCGGGCUCAACCUGGGGAACUGCCUCAAAACUACUGGGGCUAAG
rnacentral:rRNA from 1 species